AGUGAACGCUGGCGGUAGGCCUAACACAUGCAAGUCGAACGGCAGCACAGUAAGAGCUUGCUCUUACGGGUGGCGAGUGGCGGACGGGUGAGGAAUACAUCGGAAUCUACUUUUUCGUGGGGGAUAACGUAGGGAAACUUACGCUAAUACCGCAUACGACCUACGGGUGAAAGCAGGGGAUCUUCGGACCUUGCGCGAUUGAAUGAGCCGAUGUCGGAUUAGCUAGUUGGCGGGGUAAAGGCCCACCAAGGCGACGAUCCGUAGCUGGUCUGAGAGGAUGUUCAGCCACACUGGAACUGAGACACGGUCCAGACUCCUACGGGAGGCAGCAGUGGGGAAUAUUGGACAAUGGGCGCAAGCCUGAUCCAGCCAUACCGCGUGGGUGAAGAAGGCCUUCGGGUUGUAAAGCCCUUUUGUUGGGAAAGAAAGGCAGCAGGUUAAUACCCCGCUGUUCUGACGGUACCCAAAGAAUAAGCACCGGCUAACUUCGUG
rnacentral:rRNA from 1 species